rnacentral:tRNA from 1 species
UAUGCUCGUAACUCAAUGGAUAGAGUAUUAGACUACGAAUCUAAAAGCUGGAAGUUCAAAUCUUUCCGAGCAUGU